GUACGGGAGGCAGCAGUGGGGAAUAUUGCACAAUGGGCGCAAGCCUGAUGCAGCGACGCCGCGUGAGGGAUGACGGCCUUCGGGUUGUAAACCUCUUUCAGCAGGGAAGAAGCGUGAGUGACGGUACCUGCAGAAGAAGCACCGGCUAACUACGUGCCAGCAGCCGCGGUAAUACGUAGGGUGCGAGCGUUGUCCGGAAUUAUUGGGCGUAAAGAGCUUGUAGGCGGUUUGUCGCGUCUGCUGUGAAAAUCCGGGGCUCAACCCCGGACUUGCAGUGGGUACGGGCAGACUAGAGUGUGGUAGGGGAGACUGGAAUUCCUGGUGUAGCGGUGGAAUGCGCAGAUAUCAGGAGGAACACCGAUGGCGAAGGCAGGUCUCUGGGCCACUACUGACGCUGAGAAGCGAAAGCAUGGGGAGCGAACAGGAUUAGAUACCCCGGUAGA
rnacentral:rRNA from 1 species